AUAAAUGCCGUGAAGGGGAAGAGUAUGAAACGUAAGCCUAUCAGAGAGGGAAUCAUUCGCUGUGAGAUUUCCAGGUUCUUGCGCUCAGAAGGUCGCCCCAGAUGCUGUCUCUUUGAAACCGAUAGUAGAAGAGGCCGGAGAAUACUCCGUUAUGUAAGGAAAGUGUGCAGAUGACAGGAGUCGUCUGUGAAAUAAAGGUGGUACCGCGAAUCCAUUUCGUCCUUUUU
rnacentral:ncRNA from 1 species